rnacentral:rRNA from 1 species
CCUACGGGAGGCAGCAGUGAGGAAUAUUGGUCAAUGGGCUUACGCCUGAACCAGCCAAGUCGCGUGAGGGAAGACUGCCCUAUGGGUUGUAAACCUCUUUUGUCAGGGAGCAACGCCGGCCACGUGUACCCGGACUGAGAGUACCUGAAGAAUAAGCAUCGGCUAACUCCGUGCCAGCAGCCGCGGUAAUACGGAGGAUGCGAGCGUUAUCCGGAUUUAUUGGGUUUAAAGGGUGCGUAGGCGGAAUUCGAAGUCAGCGGUAAAAUCGCGGGGCUCAACCUCGCUCCGCCGUUGAAACUGGCGUUCUUGAGUGGGCGAGAAGUAUGCGGAAUGCGUGGUGUAGCGGUGAAAUGCAUAGAUAUCACGCAGAACUCCGAUUGCGAAGGCAGCAUACCGGCGCCCGACUGACGCUGAAGCACGAAAGCGUGGGGAUCGAACAGGAUUAGAUACCCGUGUAGUC